UGGGGAAUAUUGCACAAUGGAGGGAACUCUGAUGCAGCGACGCCGCGUGAACGAAGAAGGCUUUCGAGUCGUAAAGUUCUUUUAUAUGGGAAGAUAAUGACGGUACCAUAAGAAAAAGCCCCGGCUAACUACGUGCCAGCAGCCGCGGUAAUACGUAGGGGGCUAGCGUUGUCCGGAAUCACUGGGCGUAAAGGGUUCGCAGGCGGAAAUGCAAGUCAGGUGUAAAAGGCAGUAGCUUAACUACUGUAAGCAUUUGAGACUGCAUAUCUUGAGAAGAGUAGAGGUAAGUGGAAUUUUUAGUGUAGCGGUGAAAUGCGUAGAUAUUAAAAAGAAUACCGGUGGCGAAGGCGACUUACUGGGCUCAUUCUGACGCUGAGGAACGAAAGCGUGGGUAGCAAACAGG
rnacentral:rRNA from 2 species